AUUGAACGCUGGCGGCAUGCUUUACACAUGCAAGUCGAACGGUAACAGGCCGCAAGGUUCUGACGAGUGGCGGACGGGUGAGUAAUUCAUCGGAACGUGCCCAGUCGUGGGGGAUAACUACUCUAAAGAGUAGCUAAUACCACAUACGAUCUAUGGAUGAAAGCGGGGGACCGUAAGGCCUCGCGCGAUUGGAGCGGCCGAUGUCAGAUUAGGUAGUUGGUGGGGUAAAGGCUCACCAAGCCAACGAUCUGUAGCUGGUCUGGGAGGACAACCAGCCACACUGGGACUGAGAAACGGCCCAGACUCCUACGGGAGGAAGCAGUGGGGAAUUUUGGACAAUGGGCGCAAGACUGAUCCAGCAAUGCCGAGUGCAGGAAGAAGGCCUUCGGGUUGUAAACUGCUUUUGUACGGAACGAAACGGCUCUGGUUAAUAACCGGGGCUAAUGACGGUACCGUAAGAAUAAGCACCGGCUAACUACGUG
rnacentral:rRNA from 1 species